UACAGAGGGUGCUAGCGUUGUUCGGAAUUAUUGGGCGUAAAGGGCGCGUAGGCGGCCCUGUGUGUCGGGUGUGAAAGCCCACCUCUUAAAGGUGGAAUUGCAUUCGAAACUACAGGGCUGGAGUGUCGGAGAGGAUGGCGGAAUUCCUGGUGUAGAGGUGAAAUUCGUAGAUAUCAGGAGGAACACCGGUGGCGAAGGCGGCACUCUGGGACGGUACUGACGCUGAGACGCGAAAGCGUGGGGAGCAACAGGG
rnacentral:rRNA from 1 species